GACGAACGCUGGCGGCGUGCUUAACACAUGCAAGUCGAACGGAAAGGCCCUGCUUUUGUGGGGUGCUCGAGUGGCGAACGGGUGAGUAACACGUGAGUAACCUGCCCUUGACUUUGGGAUAACUUCAGGAAACUGGGGCUAAUACCGGAUAGGAGCUCCUGCUGCAUGGUGGGGGUUGGAAAGUUUCGGCGGUUGGGGAUGGACUCGCGGCUUAUCAGCUUGUUGGUGGGGUAGUGGCUUACCAAGGCUUUGACGGGUAGCCGGCCUGAGAGGGUGACCGGCCACAUUGGGACUGAGAUACGGCCCAGACGCCUACGGGAGGCAGCAGUGGGGAGUAUUGCACAAUGGGCGGACGCCUGAUGCAGCAACGCCGCGUGCGGGAUGACGGCCUUCGGGUUGUAAACCGCUUUCGCCUGUGACGAAGCGUGAGUGACGGUAAUGGGUAAAGAAGCACCGGCUAACUACGUG
rnacentral:rRNA from 1 species